rnacentral:rRNA from 1 species
AUUGAACGCUGGCGGCAGGCCUAACACAUGCAAGUCGAGCGGCAGCGGGAAAGUAGCUUGCUACUUUUGCCGGCGAGCGGCGGACGGGUGAGUAAUGCCUGGGAAAUUGCCCAGUCGAGGGGGAUAACAGUUGGAAACGACUGCUAAUACCGCAUACGCCCUACGGGGGAAAGCAGGGGACCUUCGGGCCUUGCGCGAUUGGAUAUGCCCAGGUGGGAUUAGCUAGUUGGUGAGGUAAUGGCUCACCAAGGCGACGAUCCCCAGCUGGUCUGGGAGGAUGAUCAGCCACACUGGAACUGAGACACGGUCCAGACUCCUACGGGAGGCAGCAGUGGGGAAUAUUGCACAAUGGGGGAAACCCUGAUGCAGCCAUGCCGCGUGUGUGAAGAAGGCCUUCGGGUUGUAAAGCACUUUCAGCGAGGAGGAAAGGUUGAUGCCUAAUACGUAUCAACUGUGACGUUACUCGCAGAAGAAGCACCGGCUAACUCCGUGCCAGCCGCCGCGGUAA